rnacentral:rRNA from 1 species
UGGGGAAUAUUGGACAAUGGGGGCAACCCUGAUCCAGCCAUGCCGCGUGUGUGAAGAAGGCCUUUUGGUUGUAAAGCACUUUAAGCAGGGAGGAGAGGCUAAUGGUUAAUACCCAUUAGAUUAGACGUUACCUGCAGAAUAAGCACCGGCUAACUCUGUGCCAGCAGCCGCGGUAAUACAGAGGGUGCGAGCGUUAAUCGGAAUUACUGGGCGUAAAGCGAGUGUAGGUGGCUCAUUAAGUCACAUGUGAAAUCCCCGGGGCUUAACCUGGGAACUGCAUGUGAUACUGGUGGUGCUAGAAUAUGUGAGAGGGAAGUAGAAUUCCCAGGUGUAGCGGUGAAAUGCGUAGAGAUCUGGAGGAAUACCGAUGGCGAAGGCAGCUUCCUGGCAUAAUAUUGACACUGAGAUUCGAAAGCGUGGGUAGCAAACAGGAUUAGAUACCCUGGUAGUCCACGCCGUAAACGAUGUCUACUAGCCGUUGGGGUCCUUGAGACUUUAGUGGCGCAGUUAACGCGAUAAGUNGACCGCCUGGGGGAGUACGGCCGCAAGGUUAAAACUCAAAGGAAUUGACGGGGUCUAGCUGUUUCCU